rnacentral:rRNA from 1 species
UACGAAGGGUGCGAGCGUUGUUCGGAUUUACUGGGCGUAAAGGGCGCGCAGGCGGCUAUCCAAGUCAGGCGUGAAAGCCCCGGGCUUAACCUGGGAGGUGCGUCUGGGACUGGGUGGCUAGAGAUCGGGAGAGGAGAGUGGAAUUCCCAGUGUAGAGGUGAAAUUCGUAGAUAUUGGGAAGAACACCGGUGGCGAAGGCGGCUCUCUGGACCGAUACUGACGCUGAGGCGCGAAAGCGUGGGGAGCAAACAGG